rnacentral:rRNA from 1 species
CCCAGACUCCUACGGGAGGCAGCAGUGGGGGGUAUUGCACAAUGGGGGGAACCCUGAUGCAGCGACGCCGCGUGGGUGAAGGAGCGUUUCGGCGCGUAAAGCCCUCUCGGCAGGGAAGAGGGAGGACGGGACCUGACUAAGAAGCCCCGGCUAACUACGUGCCAGCAGCCGCGGUAAUACGUAGGGGGCAAGCGUUAUCCGGAUUUACUGGGUGUAAAGGGGGCGCAGACGGCAGCGCAAGCCAGGAGUGAAAGCCCGGGGCCCAACCCCGGGACUGCUCUUGGAACUGCGCGGCUGGAGUGCAGGAGGGGCAGGCGGAAUUCCUGGUGUAGCGGUGAAAUGCGUAGAUAUCAGGAGGAACACCGGUGGCGAAGGCGGCCUGCUGGACUGCGACUGACGUUGAGGCCCGAAAGCGUGGGGAGCAAACAGGAUUAGAUACCCCCGUA